AAAAUCAAAUAAAAUUGGUCCAAAUUAAUUUAAACCAACUACUUGGUGUAUGGUGGAUCGAUCACUCGGUCCAUGGAAUGAAAAUCAUGGUCCACAAAAAAUUAUCCCGAUCCACAGUCAUGGUUUAUGGGGCAGGUGGCUGAGUUUUGCAUGAUUGAAUAGCUGGGAUUGAUUUUUGCAUGCGAUCGGAUGGCUGAGGACGCGUUAUCCCAUAUCCAUCGGUGGUGGCCCACUUCAAAUGUGCGAUCCGAUGACUCCAAGCAAUCCUGAGCGAGAUCGGAUGGUCUUGGGGAGUUGCAGGCGAGAACUAAACAAAAAGACUUUGUUUUGGC
rnacentral:lncRNA from 1 species